CUUUGCAUUACGGGCCAGCCUUUGCACGCAUCUAGAGGGAAAAUCUGCCUGUGAUUGUUCCUGUUUUCCUGGAUCCUGCCGCUGCUUUCUCCAAGUAUUCAAAGAUCUCAGGGACAGCUCAGCCUGAGAAUCUGCUUCUUCUGAUGACAUCAUUUGGCCCACAUGAAUUGACAGAAGUGGGUAGUGACUGUUAAACUGGACCACUGUUAGGAGGCUGUCUAUCUCAUUAUGGAGACAUGCCCCAAAGAGGGAAGAGACAUCUCUGUUAUUUAUGUUAGGGCUUCAAGAAUAACCCUGGAAUAGAAGGAAAGCUUUUUUUUCCCUCGGAUGGCAAUUUAUAAUGACCACACACAGCUACAGCUAUUGCCUAACUAAGGUUUUCAAUCGCCAUUUCAAGCUAAAGAAAAUGUGUGCAGGAAAACAAAAUAAAAUGGAAAAAAAAAAAAAGGAAAUC